UGGGGGAUUUUGGCACGUGAGUGGAGGAUAAUUAGGUUUUAGCAAUGAUGAAAUGGGAGCGAUUUGUGUACGUGUGGGUGGGAUUCAUGUGACGUCACCAGAAAGAGGAAGAAGGUUGGGAUGUCAAUUUGUCGAUGAGAUUUUGAGUUGAAAAAGAAAAGCAAAGUCUUUCGUUUCCCUCUCUCAAUUGAGUGUUUGAGUAAUGAGUAGUAAUUUCGAGUCUUAAGGUUUGAGAGCUA
rnacentral:lncRNA from 1 species